GCUGGCUUAGAUCAAUGGUAGAUCGUCUCCCUCCUACUGCCUGGAGAGUGGAGGAGAAGGCUGCGGGUUCGAGUCCCGUGGUCAGUG
rnacentral:tRNA from 1 species